GUUUAUUUUCCUGUAAUCUUGCACCUAAAUGCAAGGCUAUCACUUCCUUCAUUUAGAACAAUAACUAGUCUUACAAAAAAAUUUUGAUGCUCACAAGAUGAAACUCUUACAGUACCCUUCUGAAUUGCUUUAGAGCUUACAAGAGUGGUUAUCAUCCGCACACCUCACGAAGCCUACUAACGGGUAAUAAUUAUGGCUACACCUUGGUUUCAGGGAAACCGGCUAGUGCUGCGGGAAAGAGAAAAAAUUUAAAAUGUUCUUAAGCGGCUGGCACUACCAUCUCAAUGACUGGCAAGGAGCAUUUGGGGAUGAAUGUUUGCAAGGCUGCCUUCUACUAUUCUCAAACCUCAGUUCUUCGCGAAAAGGUCAUAACGAUUGAUCGAAACAUUUUUAAUGGUUUUUACUCCCCUGAUUAAUCAGGGCACUAAUGUUUCCAUCCCUCCCCGGUCUGUUUCGGACUGUGCUGUGUUUACUUCGAAGAAAACUGGAAUUACCGUUUCUUCCUAAAGAGAAAAUUAAAGAUCUACCACUUAGAAAAGUUGAAAUACCGCAUACCCUUAAUUAACAUAGCGCAUCAUAAUAAAAGAAUUAGCCCCCCCUUAGAGAUUAGCUUGAAAAAGGUUUUAUCCAUGGAAUUGGUGGUAAAAAAGCGACGCUUUGGACAUUAUUGUAGAUGAGUACAUUCCAACAUACUCAGAAAUCUUAAGAA